rnacentral:rRNA from 1 species
UACGAAGGGGGCUAGCGUUGCUCGGAAUUACUGGGCGUAAAGCGCACGUAGGCGGCUCUUUAAGUCGGGGGUGAAAUCCUGGAGCUCAACUCCAGAACUGCCUUCGAUACUGUAGAGCUUGAGUUCGGGAGAGGUGAGUGGAACUGCGAGUGUAGAGGUGAAAUUCGUAGAUAUUCGCAAGAACACCAGUGGCGAAGGCGGCUCACUGGCCCGAUACUGACGCUGAGGUGCGAAAGCGUGGGGAGCAAACAAG